CAACCAAAAGGUGGAGACAUCUUGCCCUGUUUUGAUAGAAAUGCAUCACGUGCUACAUUUUACAUGAACACACGUCCAACUCAAAUCAGAAAACUGUUUUUGUCACUGAAAUUCUUUAGAAGAAAGAUGAACAUCAAAGGCAGUGCUAUAGUCUUAUUCCUCUGUUUCCUGACUCUAUUUACCAUAACAGGUUUCACUGUUGCUAUGCUGAUUGGAAAUUCUGACUAUAACGCUAAGAUCAUGAGCUUAGCUAGGGGAUGGACUCUCAUAAAGUGUUUGAUGACUGUUUUCUGCUGUGUCUGUAAAUGCAAAGAACAACAGCAAGUUACAGAUGACGAGGCGUUAAGAAUGAACAAUUUACACAGCUUCACUCAAUAACUUCCAACCCACACCUCUUGAUCACUCGUGUUCAGUAACAGCUUUAUCCUUGUCAGUGUCACGGUGGAUUCAUACACUGUCCUGGGAAAACUGGGCACGAGGCAGUAACACAUCCUGGAUGGGACUACCAGUUCACACACACACACACACACACACACACACACCCCUCUGGGAAAUUUAUCUUAGACAAUCCACCUGUGCAGUUGAUUAGAGCUUUCUCUGCGCUAAAUGUUAGUGUUGUUUUUAGAGGUAAUUCUGUUUGUUUGUAACUUUGUGACAAACCUGAUCUUAGUUUUGUUGGGUCUGUGGUUUUCCUGCCGAAUUAGGCUCAUUUGAAAAUACAGAUGCUGGUGAAAUUUAAAAGGUCAUGGGUGGUGUUUCCGGGCUACUUUCAGAAUUGAUCAUGGCUGUAAUAAAAAAAAAAAAUGAAACAGCCGAAAAGCAAAAAUGAAUAAAUAAAUAAAUAAAAUUGUUGUUUAUAUUGAUGAGAGUGUUAAAUACCUGGCAACUUAACAACAGACACGCACAUUUAGUGUAGGCUACAGUUGACAGGUUGAUUUUUUUUUUUUUUUUACACCCUGACUCACAAGUGGGAAGGUUGGUGAAUAUGUUGGUGACUGUUUAUCUUAUAUGUUAUAUCUUAUUUAUAGUUUUUUACUAUAUGAUAUUAUAGUAUUAUCUUAUAAUAUGAUGUUAUUUUAUUGUUCCUGUACAGUUUUACAGAUUUAAGCACUGUGUGAAAGGUGCUAUAUAUAAUGAGUCUUUAUUGAUCACGUAUACAUUACAGCACAGUGAAAUUGCUUUCUUCGCAUACCCGAGCAUGUCAGGAAGUUGGGGUCAGAGCGCAGGGUCAGCCAUGUCACAGCACCCCUGGAGCAGAGAGGGUUAAGGGUCUUGCUCAACAGCCCAAGAGUGGCAGCUUAGCAGUGCUGGGGCCUGAACCCCCGACCUUCUGAUCAGUAACCCAGAGCCUUAACUUUAUAAAUAAAGCUUAAAUAAAGUUCGGUUUAUUCAACCCAGUCUGAAAUACUCAGUAAGCUCAUCCUAAAGGCUUGUUCAUACCGGGACGUUUUUUUUCAGCGUGUUAAAUGGUUCAUGUCUAAAUCAAUGGCUGUCAACAGGUGUGUUCAGACCCACGCGUGGCGUCAAUUUAUUUUAUGUCUCAGAGUUAUUCUUUGUCUCUUCCCUGCAAAUGUUUCCCAUCUCUGCUCAACGAUAAUCUGUUGCUUGAUAGUCCAUUGUAUUUAUUUUGCACCUGGCAUAUAUUUGCAUAUAUGUAUUAAUCAAAUAGCUAAGUGCCCCAUUAUUGCAUUGUUGUAUUAUCAUAUUGACCACAAAAAAGACUAUUCAUAUUCAACACUUCAUCAAUUUGCAGGAACAUUAACAUUUUUGGCCACAACAAUAGAGGCCUUAUACCUACCCACCCCCUCCCAAAAAAAUGUAUUUAAAAAAAUGUAUAAUUAGGGACUUCCCAUAAGUAUGUCAAUGCUAUUGCUGUGACUUUGAAAUAAUUCAAAUCAUUACUUAUUUAAAAAAAAAAAAAAAAAAAAGUAUAUUGUACUGCUACUGCUGCUGCUUGAAAAAUCCAUUUUCUGUUCACAAAAAAAAAAAAAGUGUGUGAACGGCAAACACAAAUACUGGCUCUCUUCUCCUCAGUGAUUAGCGGGUGUCAGAAACGGAAAGUUGUGCAGUGCUAUCUUGUCCCAGGGUAUUUCUGCUUUUCAAUAAGCGCCAUCUACUGUCAGGGACUGAAUUUGCACUUUCAUUCAGCGCAUUGCUCGUGUUUAACGCAUGUGUGCAAACACAAAAAAAAAAUGGCGAAAAACUAACAGUUUAACACGCUGAAAAAAACUUCCCGGUGUGAACAGGCCUUAACACCUGUUAUGUAGACAGGUAUAGACAGUCUGUGUUUGCCUUCAUCAACGAUCAGUCUCCAACCACAGACCUCAUUUAUCUUUUAAAUGAAAAUGUCUGAAAAUUUCAAAUUUGUUUUUUACAAUAUUUCAAAUAUAUGAAAAGAUAUUUGCAUAUUUAUUAGCUGUAAUAGAUUUUUGAUUGUGCAUAAAAAUUAAAUGAUUUAAGUAAA